GUCCACGCCGUAAACGAUGAUAACUUGUUGUUGGAGGUAUUGACCCCUUCAGUGACGAAGCUAACGCGUUAAGUUAUCCGCCUGGGAAGUACGGUCGCAAGAUUAAAAACUCAAAGAAAUUGACGGGGCCCGCACAAGCAGUGGAUUAUGUGGUUCAAUUCGAUGCAACGCGAAAAACCUUACCUGGGUUUGACAUGCACUGGAAGACUGCAGAGAUGUAGUCGCCUUCGGGCCGGUGCACAGGUGCUGCAUGGCUGUCGU
rnacentral:rRNA from 1 species